rnacentral:tRNA from 1 species
UGGGGGAUCGUCUAAAGGUAGGACGUCGCGCCCUGAACGCGAUAAUUGGGGUUCGAGUCCCUGUCCCCCAGCCA